rnacentral:lncRNA from 1 species
UUUGAGAUUGACCAUGAUUCCAUUUUCUUUCAUGCUCCAACCCAUAGUGUCAAUGCGACGAGUAGCGCCGGCCUCAUUAAACUCUAACAUCAAACAUAAAGUCAAUACAACUCCAAUCAUUCACCUUAAAACCAGACAAAUUCAAGCUAGAAUUCAAACUCAAAUUUUCAGAUUUAAACACUUAACAAAGCAAUUAAAUGAAGAAGAUCUAGUAGUCAAUCCCAAUAAUUCCAAAAAUUCGCCUAUUAGGCUGAAAUACAGGUUCGAAAGUAACAAUACCUGGACAGUAGUGAAUCAGGAAAAAUAGAAUCAAACAAAGGUGAAGAAGAAACUAGAAAGCUCAGCUACGCGGACUCAGCAGAACAUCAACGACAGUUCCAGCAACCAAACAAAACUUCUUCAACCCAAAUGUCACUCGAAAUUCCAAAAAAACUAAANNNNNNNNNNNNNNNNNNNNNNNNNGCAAAAGAGCAGAAAUUCGAAUAGCCUUCAAACCCUUUAUUUUCUGUUUUUUCAUUCAUUUUUCUUUUGAAUCUGUCCAUUUCUCUUGUAUGUGUUUUUUUUUAAUUUGAUGGAAAGAAGAUGAUGAAGGUGGGGAAGAGGAGUAACGAUGCUGAUUAAUUUUUGGAGGGACUCUCUUUCGCCAUUUGUUCGCUCCUGGAAAACAGAAAGAAUUAGGUUGCUCUAGGUUGGAAAAAAUGGGGGUUCUGUUAUCUGGUGUUGAUGGUGAGAUCAAGAACCAGAUCGAGGGGGGAGUCUCCUUAGUCUCUGCGGCUAUCAGCUG